AUCAAGCUAAACAGUAGUCACUGGGUUCCAGGGUUCUCUUCCAUGACCCACGGCUUCUAAUAGAGCUAUAGCACUCACCACAUGGCCCAAGAUUCCGUUACUUGGAAUCUGUGAGGCCAAGAACCCCAGGUUAGAGAACCUGAGGCUUGCCACCAUCUUGGAAGCAGCUCGCCACCAUCUUAGGAGCUCUGUGAGCAAGGACCCCCCGGUAACAUUUUGGCGACCAGGAAGGGACCUCCAAAGUGGGAGAAAGCAUUUAUGGUGAGGAGAAAAACAGCUGGUAUCACACUCUACCCAAGUCCCAAAAACAGGUUCACAUAACUCCUGUCUUCGUUAUCUGAUAUCCGUAUGAAGAAUGUAAGAUAGAAAACAAAUUAGCAUUUGAGAGGAUUGAAAGAGAAGCAUUCUCAGCAGAGCCAAGAUUCACUUAGAACAAAAGGUGAUACCCUAUAGUUUUAGUCUGGACUUUUUUAUAAGCUAAUUAACAAAUUUGUACGUGGUUAACAAUUGUUUACAUUAAAUUCUAUUGGUAAAGUAA
rnacentral:lncRNA from 1 species